rnacentral:rRNA from 1 species
AACGAACGCUGGCGGCGUGCCUAACACAUGCAAGUCGAGCGAGAAAGCCCGCAAGGGUGAGUAAAGCGGCGCACGGGUGCGUAACACGUGGGUAAUCUGCCCUAGAGUCCGGAAUAACUCUCCGAAAGGCGUGCUAAUGCCGGAUGAGACCACGGGAGCCUCGGCUCCUGCGGGAAAAGGUGGCCUCUGUAUACAAGCUAUCGCCCUAGGAUGAGCCCGCGGCCCAUCAGCUAGUUGGCGGGGUAAUGGCCCACCAAGGCUACGACGGGUAGCUGGUCUGAGAGGACGAUCAGCCACACUGGAACUGAGACACGGUCCAGACUCCUACGGGAGGCAGCAGUGGGGAAUCUUGCGCAAUGGGCGAAAGCCUGACGCAGCAACGCCGCGUGUGUGAUGAAGGUCUUCGGAUCGUAAAGCACUGUCGCGAGGGACGAAUAAGGGGCGGGCUAACACUCCGUUCCGAUGACGGUACCUCGAGAGGAAGCACCGGCUAACUCUGUGCCAGCAGCCGCAGUAAUAC